UACAGAGGUGCCAAGCGUUAGGCGGAAUCACUGGGCUUAAAGCGCGCGUAGGCGGAUGUUUAAGUGUCUUGUGAAAUCCCACGGCUCAACCGUGGAACUGCUGGGCAUACUGGACAUCUCGAGGCACUCAGGGGCGAGCGGAACAAGUGGUGGAGCGGUGAAAUGCGCAGAUAACAGGAAGAACACCAAUGGCGAAGGCAGCUCUCUGGGACGGUACUGACGCUGAGACGCGAAAGCGUGGGGAGCGAACAGG
rnacentral:rRNA from 1 species